GUAUAUUCAGUCAAGAAACCAGUUUGUGAAAUUGAAUGCUCGAGUCAUUCAGAAUGUCUAGAUGGAUACAGUUGUCAAACAGAAGGAUGUGAUCGUAUUUGCAGACCUAAAAGAGUGAUUUUAUCAAAUUCAGCAAUUAGAUCCGACAUGAGUUCAUCUGGAUGCGUUCAGAGAUGUAUGGACAGGGGCGGGCUAGGUUGCAGAAGUCUUUGUCAGCGUAGUAUAGAUUCAUUGUCAGGAGGUCAAAUAAUUCCUGGUGGUUUCUUAGACAGUGGAUUCCAAGAUGCUUUAGUAGAUCCUAUUCGGUCAGGUAGUCUUAUAAGACAUAUCUCGCCAGUAGGUAAUUCUAUUCGGUCAGAUAGUCUUCUUGGACGUAUCUCGCCAGUAGGUGAUUCAAUUCGGUCAGGUAGUCUUGUUAGACAUAUCUCGCCAGUAGGUGAUUCUAUUCGAUCAGGUAGUCUUCUUGGACGUAUCUCGCAAGUUGAUUCAAUUUUACAUAAAGGCUGUCAAAAUACAUGCAUUUCACGAGGCUGCAACUUCAACGAGGAAUGUGUCACACGGGAUGGAUGUUCUGUAUGUGUUCGUGCCAAGACCUACCCAUAAGAUAAG
rnacentral:lncRNA from 1 species